rnacentral:rRNA from 1 species
GACGAACGCUGGCGGCGUGCCUAAUACAUGCAAGUCGAACGCAGUGGGGACGGGUGAGUAACACGUGGGUAACCUCCCAUCAGAGGGGAUAACACUUGGAAACAGGUGCUAAACCGAUAUUGAUGUAUGGACCCGUGGUGCAUUGGCUAGUUGGUGUGGUAACGGCCAACCAAGGCCACGAUGCAUAGCCGUCCUGAUAGGUUGAUCGGCAACACUGGGACUGGGACACGGCCCAGACUCCUACGGGAGGCAGCAGUGGGGAAUCUUCGGCAAUGGACGAAAGUCUGACCGAGCAACGCCGCGUGAGUGAAGAAGGUUUUCGGAUCGUAAAACUCUGUUGUUAGGGAGGCGGUAUCUAAACAGAAAGCCACGGCUAACUACGUGCCAGCCGCCGCGGUAAUAC